rnacentral:rRNA from 1 species
UGCGGAGGGGGCAAGCGUUACUCGGAAUCACUGGGCGUAAAGGGCGCGUAGGCGGCCUAGCAAGUCUGGUGUGAAAGCCCAGGGCUCAACCCUGGAAGGGCACUGGAAACUGUUAGGCUUGAGUUCCGGAGAGGAGGGGGGAAUUCCCGGUGUAGCGGUGAAAUGCGUAGAUAUCGGGAGGAGUACCGGUGGCGAAGGCGCCCCUCUGGACGGAAACUGACGCUGAGGCGCGAAAGCGUGGGGAGCAAACAGG